AUACAACUUUCAACAACGGAUCUCUUGGCUCUCGCAUCGAUGAAAAACGCAGCGAAAUGCGAUAAGUAAUGUGAAUUGCAAAAUUCAGUGAAUCAUCGAAUCUUU
rnacentral:rRNA from 1 species